rnacentral:lncRNA from 1 species
UUGUGUGCUUAAUGGAGCAUUAUGGUUUUGCAACUUACAGGCGCUUUCUUUCACUGAUUUCAGACUUAAGCACAUCGCGCACAGUCACAAAAACCAAAAGAGUGAGCUGGUGUGUGUCCGUUUUGCCUAAAUCACGUGAGCUUUGUUGCUGUGGUUGAAGUUGGAGAAAAUCAGAAUGGCGCACCAUAAGGGCAAAGCAAGCACAUCGCCUCACCCCUGGAAGAAAGCAGUCCCUGCCAAUCCUUUAAAACAGCCGGCAGAGAAAUGAGGGGCCUGCUAGGGCCAAGCUGCCUCCCUGCUGACUCUAAUUACCCAGCCGGGAAUCGCACAUCCCUCCUUCCCGCCCGCCCCCAAGUUGGACCGAGGACUCUGCACUCCACAGCCUUCGGCUGGUCCUUUUGUGUGCCCACGGCUGCCGAGUGGAUGUGGCUCAUAAUGAGCUUUGACACUAAUGGAACUGCGAGACAGUGUGAUUAUGGAUUCUCCCCCCUCGCAGCACAGACCUGGCAGGAAAUGACCCGAGACUCUGCACCCUUCCACCCCCAAAAGAAUUCUGUGGAAACCAUCUUCAGCAGCCAGCUGGAGCUCUCCCCCCACCCCUUUCUCAGCUCAGUUUCCUCUUCCCUCCAUCAUCCUGCAG